AGUGAACGCUGGCGGUAGGCCUAACACAUGCAAGUCGAACGGCAGCACAGUAAGAGCUUGCUCUUACGGGUGGCGAGUGGCGGACGGGUGAGGAAUACAUCGGAAUCUACUUUUUCGUGGGGGAUAACGUAGGGAAACUUACGCUAAUACCGCAUACGACCUACGGGUGAAAGCAGGGGAUCUUCGGACCUUGCGCGAUUGAAUGCGCCGAUGUCGGAUUAGCUAGUUGGCGGGGUAAAGGCCCACCAAGGCGACGAUCCGUAGCUGGUCUGAGAGGAUGAUCAGCCACACUGGAACUGAGACACGGUCCAGACGCCUACGGGAGGCAGCAGUGGGGAAUAUUGGACAAUGGGCGCAAGCCUGAUCCAGCCAUACCGCGUGGGUGAAGAAGGCCUUCGGGUUGUAAAGCCCUUUUGUGGGGAAAGAAAAGCAGCAGGUUAAUACCCCGCUGUUCUGACGGUACCCAAAGAAUAAGCACCGGCUAACUUCGUG
rnacentral:rRNA from 1 species